rnacentral:tRNA from 1 species
GAAAGUAGAGCUCAGUGGUAGAGUCAUGCCUGGAAUGCACGAGGUCCUGGGUUCAAUCCCCAGCACCACCA